AACGGCCGUACCAUGCUGAAUAUACCGGUUCUCGUUAGAUCACCGAAGUCAAGCAUCAUUGGGCGCGGUCAGUACUUGGGUGGGUGACCACCUGAG